rnacentral:sRNA from 1 species
GCAACCUCCCCAGCACCACUAAGCGUAAAUGUGCCUCCUCCUCCUCCUAUACCACCUCCUCAGCCUCUGACGACGACAGGCAGAGGACAGGUCCAGUCUCUGUGGGGACCAAGAAAGAUCCGCCGUCAGCAGUGCUGUCUGGGGAGGGGGCCACCCCACGGAAGGAGCCAGUGGUGGGAGGCACCCUGAGCCCGCUCGCCCUGGCCAAUAAGGCGGAGAGCGUGGUGUCCGUCACCAGUCAGUGUAGCUUCAGCUCCACCAUCGUCCAUGUGGGAGACAAGAAGCCCCCGGAGUCGGAAGGAAGAGCAAGCCUUCCUCAGCCGCUUCCGAGACCUGGGCAGGCUGCGUGGACUCGACAGCUCUUCCACAGCUCCCUCAGCCCUUGGCGAGCGAGGCUGCCACCACGGCCCCGCACCCCCAAGCCGCCGACACCACUGCCGAUCCAAAGCCAAGCGCUCACGCCACCACCAGAACCCUCGGGCUGAAGCGCCCUGCUAUGUCUCACACCCCUCACCCGUGCCACCCUCCACCCCCUGGCCCACCCCACCAGCCACUACCCCCUUCCCAGCGGUUGUCCAGCCCUACCCUCUCCCAGUGUUCUCUCCUCGAGGAGGCCCCCAGCCUCUUCCCCCUGCUCCCACAUCUGUGCCCCCAGCUGCUUUCCCCGCCCCUUUGGUGACCCCAAUGGUGGCCUUGGUGCUCCCUAACUAUCUGUUCCCAACCCCAUCCAGCUAUCCUUAUGGGGCACUCCAGACCCCUGCUGAAGGGCCUCCCACUCCUGCCUCGCACUCCCCUUCUCCAUCCUUGCCCGCCCUCCCCCCCAGUCCUCC